GUGCUGCCGAAGAGUCCCAAACUAGGACGAAACAGCUGUCCAGUAC
rfam:Trichobilharzia regenti genome assembly, scaffold: TRE_scaffold0011571